rnacentral:rRNA from 1 species
UACGUAGGGGGCAAGCGUUGUCCGGAUUUAUUGGGCGUAAAGCGCGUGUAGGCGGCUUGGCAAGUCCGCUGUGAAAACUCGAGGCUCAACCUCGAGACGUCGGUGGAAACUGCCUGGCUAGAGUCCGGAAGAGGAGAGCGGAAUUCCUGGUGUAGCGGUGAAAUGCGCAGAUAUCAGGAAGAACACCCGUGGCUAAGGCGGCUCUCUAGUACGGUACUGACGCUGAGACGCGAAAGCGUGGGGAGCGAACAGG